rnacentral:rRNA from 1 species
UACGGAGGGUGCGAGCGUUAAUCGGAAUUACUGGGCGUAAAGCGCGCGUAGGUGGCUUGAUAAGCCGGUUGUGAAAGCCCCGGGCUCAACCUGGGAACGGCAUCCGGAACUGUCAGGCUAGAGUGCAGGAGAGGAAGGUAGAAUUCCCGGUGUAGCGGUGAAAUGCGUAGAGAUCGGGAGGAAUACCAGUGGCGAAGGCGGCCUUCUGGACUGACACUGACACUGAGGUG